rnacentral:rRNA from 1 species
AGAGCGGGAGCCCGGAGAUGGGCACUGAGACAAGGGCCCAGGCCCUACGGGGCGCAGCAGUUGCGAAAUCUCCGCAAUGCGCGAAAGCGUGACGGGGCUACCCCGAGUGCCGUCCGCUGAGGAUGGCUUUUCCGCGGUGUAAGGAGCCGUGGGAAUAAGGAGAGGGCAAGACUGGUGUCAGCCGCCGCGGUAAUACCAGCUCUCCGAGUGGUGGGGAUGAUUAUUGGGCUUAAAGCGUUCGUAGCCGGCCUGGCAAGUCUUCCGUUAAAUCCAGCGGCCUAAUCGUUGGACUGCGGGAGAUACUGUUAGGCUAGGGGGCGGGAGAAGCCGACGGUACUCUCGGGGUAGGGGUGAAAUCCUGUAAUCCCGGGAGGACCACCAGUGGCGAAGGCGGUCGGCUAGAACGCGCCCGACGGUG